rnacentral:rRNA from 1 species
CACGUAGGGUGCGAGCGUUGUCCGGAAUUAUUGGGCGUAAAGAGCUAGUAGGCGGUGUGUCGCGUCGGCCGUGAAAACCUGCAGCUUAACUGUGGGCUUGCGGUCGAUACGGGCAUCACUGGAGUUCGGCAGGGGAGACUGGAAUUCCUGGUGUAGCGGUGAAAUGCGCAGAUAUCAGGAGGAACACGGGUGGCGAAGGCGGGUCUCUGGGCCGAUACUGACGCUGAGGAGCGAAAGCGUGGGGAGCGAACAGG